AUUGAACGCUGGCGGCAGGCCUAACACAUGCAAGUCGAGCGGUAGAGAGAAGCUUGCUUCUCUUGAGAGCGGCGGACGGGUGAGUAAUGCCUAGGAAUCUGCCUAGUGGUGGGGGAUAACGUUCGGAAACGGACGCUAAUACCGCAUACGUCCUACGAGAGAAAGCGGGGGAUCUUCGGACCUCGCGCCAUUAGAUGAGCCUAGGUCGGAUUAGCUAGUUGGUGAGGUAAUGGCUCACCAAGGCGACGAUCCGUAACUGGUCUGAGAGGAUGAUCAGUCACACUGGAACUGAGACACGGUCCAGACUCCUACGGGAGGCAGCAGUGGGGAAUACUGGACAAUGGGCGAAAGCCUGAUCCAGCCAUGCCGCGUGUGUGAAGAAGGUCUUCGGAUUGUAAAGCACUUUAAGUUGGGAGGAAGUGCAGUAACCUAAUACGUUAUUGUUUUGACGUUACCGACAGAAUAAGCACCGGCUAACUUCGUGCCAGCAGCCGCAGUAAAAC
rnacentral:rRNA from 1 species